AAGGGAAGCCGGUAGAGGCCAGCGGCACGGGCUGAAUCCGGCACGGUCCCGCCACUGUGAGUGGGGAGCCACGUCCGACCCCCCGGAGGCCACGGCCUCGGGGGAGCCACUGGGAGCGAUCCCGGGAAGGCCGGAGGUGUGGCGAUGAUCCACGAGUCAGGAGACCU
rfam:Candidatus Rokubacteria bacterium GWC2_70_16 gwc2_scaffold_7070, whole genome shotgun sequence.